rnacentral:rRNA from 1 species
UACGUAGGGUCCGAGCGUUGUCCGGAUUUAUUGGGCGUAAAGAGCUCGUAGGCGGUUCCGUAAGUCGGAUGUGAAAACUCGGGGCUCAACCCCGAGACGCCAUCCGAUACUGCGAUGACUUGAGUCUGGUAGGGGAACACGGAAUUCCUGGUGUAGCGGUGAAAUGCGCAGAUAUCAGGAGGAACACCGGUGGCGAAGGCGGUUCUCGUGGGCCUUACCUGACACUGAGGAGCGAAAGCGUGGGGAGCGAACAGG